rnacentral:rRNA from 1 species
GACGAACGCCGGCGGCGUGCUUAACACAUGCAAGUCGAACGGUAAGGCCCUUCGGGGUACACGAGUGGCGAACGGGUGAGUAACACGUGGGUGAUCUGCCCUGCACUUCGGGAUAAGCCUGGGAAACUGGGUCUAAUACCGGAUAGGACUCCUGGCUUCAUGGGUGGGGGUGGAAAGCUUUUGCGGUGUGGGAUGGGCCCGCGGCCUAUCAGCUUGGUGGUGGGGUAAUGGCCUUCCAAGGCGACGACGGGUAGCCGGCAUGAGAGGGUGACCGGUCACACUGGGACUGAGAUACGGCCCAGACUCCUACGGGAGGCAGCAGUGGGGAAUAUUGCACAAUGGGCGCAAGCCUGAUGCAGCGACGCCGCGUGAGGGAUGACGGCCUUCGGGUUGUAAACCUCUUUCAGCUAUGACGAAGCGCAAGUGACGGUAGUAGCAGAAGAAGGACCGGCCAACUACGUGCCAGCCGCCGCCGUAA